rnacentral:tRNA from 1 species
GGGGUUGUGGCUCAGAGGUAGAGCACUUGCCUAGCAUGCAUGAGGAACUGGGUUUGAUCCUCAGCACCA